GACGAACGCUGGCGGCGUGCCUAAUACAUGCAAGUCGAGCGGACUUUCAAGAAGCUUGCUUUUUGGAAGUUAGCGGCGGACGGGUGAAUAACACGUGGGCAACCUGCCUGUAAGACGGGGAUAACUCCGGGAAACCGGGGCUAAUACCGGAUAAUAUCUUUCUCCGCAUGAAGGAAGGUUGAAAGGCGGCGCAAGCUGCCGCUUGCAGAUGGGCCCGCGGCGCAUUAGCUAGUUGGUGAGGUAACGGCUCACCAAGGCGACGAUGCGUAGCCGACCUGAGAGGGUGAUCGGCCACACUGGGACUGAGACACGGCCCAGACUCCUACGGGGGGCAGCAGUAGGGAAUCCUCCGCAAUGGACGAAAGUCUGACGGAGCAACGCCGCGUGAGCGAAGAAGGUCUUCGGAUCGUAAAGCUCUGUUGUCAGGGAAGAACAAGUACCGUUCGAAUAGGGCGGUACCUUGACGGUACCUGACCAGAAAGCCACGGCUAACUACGUGCCAGCCGCCGCCGUAA
rnacentral:rRNA from 1 species